UACGUAGGGGGCGAGCGUUGUCCGAAGUUACUGGGCGUAAAGCGCGCGUAGGCGGCUCUUUAAGUCUGGCGUGAAAGGUUCAGGGCUCAACCCGAACAGUGCGCUGGAGACUGGAGAGCUUGAGGACGGGAGAGGGAAGCGGAAUUCCGGGUGUAGCGGUGAAAUGCGUAGAUAUCCGGAGGAACACCGAUGGCGAAGGCAGCUCCUGGCCCGUAUCUGACGCGUGAGGUGCGAAAGCGAUGGGGAGCCGAACGAGG
rnacentral:rRNA from 1 species